rnacentral:misc_RNA from 1 species
GAAAUGCGAUAAGUAAUGUGAAUUGCAGAAUUCCGUGAAUCAUCGAAUCUUUGAACGCACAUUGCGCCCUCUGGCAUUCCGGGGGGCAUGCCUGUCCGAGCGUCAUUACGCACCCUCAAGCCCGGCUUGUGUGAUGGGCCCUGGCGUCUCGUUCGCGAGACGGGCCCGAAAGGCAGCGGCGGCGUCGACCCGAUGAGCCCGAGCGUAUGGGGACUUUGUCACACGUUUGCGGUGCGGACCGGCGCCUGCUUGACUUUUCUGAUUAUCCAGGUUGACCUCGGAUCAGGUAGGGAUACCCGCUGAACUUAAGC